rnacentral:lncRNA from 1 species
GGAAUAUUUUGUAAUAUUAAAAGUAUCAGUUCCGCAAGGAACAUUAAAAUGGUAAAUGUGUGUGUAUUUAACAGGAGAGAUUAAAUCAACAUAAAGCAAACUUCAACAAUAAAGAGGUGAUAGAGUCAAACCUACAGGUACUUAGAGACUUUUAUACCCCUCUGUGACUAAAAGACAAAACUUUAAAAAAAAGUGAAAAAAACUGGUAAAGCUAGAAAAGGUUUUAAUUAUACAAGCAACCACUUGGAGAUAAUUUGUUGCUCAUAGAACACUGCACUACAACUGCAGAAUUCACAUCAUUUUCAAGUACACCUGGAACAUUCACUAACAGACUCAACCAAGUCUCAUUCAAUUUAAAAAAACUCAAAUUUAACAAAAUAUGACUUCAGUUAACAAUAGAGUUAAAUUCUAUAUGAAUAAUAUAAUAGUUACCCAUUUCCCACAUAUCUGAAAAUUAAAAAGCAUAGUUCUAAAUAACCAUGAUUCCAAGAAGAAAUCACAAGAAAAUAUUUUGCACUGAAUUAUAAUAAAAACACAACUUGUCAUCUCAUCAUAAAAGAAAUGUAUAGCUUUUAAGACAUAUCUUGUAAAGGAAUAAGAAUUUUAAAAUCAAUCAUUAAAGUUCCCACUUUAAAAAGCAGAAGAAAAAAAAAAAAGAGAGACAAACUAAACACAAAGGAGGAAAAAUAAAAGAGAAAAUAGACAAAAAUCUAUGAAAAACGAGCCAAAAAAUUCAACAGCUAAGGGAUUUUAACACCAGAUAGUCACAAUAAGUAUUCUGGAGGAUAAAGAUAGGCUAGGGUACAAUCUAUGUGUAAACUUCAGGACAUCAGAUUCACUGUCCCAUCACAGUACUGAAAAGGCCACUUGGGGAGCUAAAAUGUCCUGAUAAAUGGUGCUAUGAAAAUGCAAGGAUUUCUAGACAUAUAAACAGUUAUUUCUGCAAUAAAUUUACUCAUUAUAUUCCAUUUAGUUUCUCCCAGAGCAAGUGACAUUCUUCCCAUCGUUUAUAGAAUGUUGUAUGGGCCAACAGGUACAGUAAGUGAUUUCAAACACCUUUACUUGCUUGCAGUGAAACAGAAGAGAAAACUAUCUGCCUUCUGUUUACUAUGCUGCCUCAAAUAAAAAUGAUGACAAAGCACUUGAACUAAAAAUAAAUCAUAAUCUGAAGCAUUAGACUUCUUUGAAGACAAAAUAUUGACAUCUAAUCUAUUGAUUAGCUUUUGUUUGCAAAGGUAUUGUAAGAAAAGUAGAAUGUAAAUAUGAAUUAGUCUUCUUAUAAUUAAUCAUCGUACUUUUUUACCCUUGUGGUAAUGUUAUAUAACCCUUAAGAGGGAAUUAUGAUGACAUUUUAGGUAUAACCAAAGAUAAAAAAUGUUGGAGUGACUACAUUACAAAUUUAUAGGAUAACUUUUCACAGAAAAAUUUAUUGCAGGCAGGUACAGCUUUAGGAUGAACGUAGCAUGAGGGGUUCUCAUGGUGGAUGCAGUUUAGGGAAAGACAGGCCUCCAGAUCCCAAAUAGCCCCCAUAUGACUUGGCUAUGUUCCUGGAAUUUCCCCAUUAAAAAUUCAUUCUGUAGGGUCAAUAGCUUUGGGGCCUUCAAGAGACCUCCAUGAAAUUUUCAGUAACUAUUGGAAGAAAAACCCCAUAAGACACUGUAAACUAAAUCUCAAAAAUUUCUGGUUGGAACUAGCAAAUUAAACAAGAAAUGGUAGUUGUGGAAAACAAGUACCAUAAGAAGUGGGAAAAAGUACUACAAUAUUUAACCAAUUUACUCAUGUCUAAUCAGCAUUGAGACUGCUAGAGGGAAAUAAAGUCUUGUUUUAGUUUUGUUUUUAAAAGAGCUAUAUUGAAUGAUUCUACAGCUUGUAGGAUAAUCUGAGAGCCUAAAGUGUAAAAAGUGUACAUAAUAUAAAUUAAACUUUAAAACUGAAAACAGGAGAGUUCCUGCUGCAGCACAACAGAUUUGGGGCAUCUUGGGAGCGCUGGGAUACAGGUUUGAUCCCUGGCCUGGCACAGUGGGUUAAGGAUCUGGAAUUUCUGCAUCUGCAGCAUAGGUUGCACUAUAGCUUGGAUCUGAUCCCUGCCUGGGAACCUCCAUAUGCCACAGAUGCGGCCCUUAAAAAAAAAAAAAAAAAAAAAAAAAAGAAAGAAAGAAAGAAGAAAAAAACUAAAACUUUCAAGUGACUCCCUUUUGUGCUAGAAUAAAAUUGGAAUUCCUUAUCUGGACCUACAGCCCUAUAAGGUCUGGCCUCAGUGAGAGCUUCAUCUCCUCUGUCCCCUAAUUCACUACUCUGCAACCAUACUGACCACCUUCUGUUACCACACCUGCUAAGUCCUUUCCUUGCCCUGGGCUUUGCUCCCACUGUCCUCUCUCCCUACUCCCUUUCACAAGAAUGUUCCUUCUCUAGGGGUCUCCACCCCAAAUCACUUCCUUACAGAGAUCCCUCCUGACCAUCUCAAGUGGAAUCCUCCAAUAACUUUCAAUUCUAUCACCCAGCUAAUUUCACUCAUGAGAUUUAAAGCAAUCUCUAGUACCUCAUUUGCUUAUUGGUUUAUCUGCUCUCUAUUUAAUUUUUUUUUAAACUUUAGGGCCACACCCACAGCAUAUGGAGGUUCCCAGGUGAGAGGUUGAAUUGGAGAUACAGCUGCCAGCCUACACCACAGCCACAGCAAUGCCAGAUUCAAGCCACGUCUGCGACCUACACCACAGCUCAUGGUAACGCCACAUCCUUAACCCACCGAGCAAGGCCAGGAAUCAAACCUGCGUUCUUAUGGAUGCUAAUCAGAUUCAUUUCUACUGAGCCAUGAUGGGAACUCCUGUUCUCUACUUGAGAUGAUACCCUCUAUGAAGGUGGGCAGCCUAUCUGUCUGCUUCACCCCUGUCUCUCCACAGCUCAGCACGGUGCCCGGCCUACAGGAGAGAUUUCAGCUGUUCAGCUUCCUACUGUUUUUACCAUUAUUACAAAUUAUUACAAAAACCACUUCAGUGAGACUGUCCUGUCCUAAGUGCCAAUUUGUUUCUUUUCUUUUGAAGCAGGUGGAAACAGUGGAAGUAGUGAAAGAUUUUGGAAAUGCUUUGAAGGUAAAGACUACCUUUUCUGAUAGAUUAAGCAUGGAAAGUGAGCCAAAGAGACAAAGGUGAUUUCAAGGUCCAAAUUAAUGGAAGGAUAAAUUUUCCAUUCACUGAGAAAAUAAUGUAAUGGGCAGUUUGGGGUCAGAAGGAAAUUAGUUAAAUUUUGGAUAUAUUAAAUUUGAGGUGCUUAUCAGACCAUAUAAUGAAAACACAGCAUAGGUGGUUGUAUACCUGAGUAUAGAAUUCAAGGGAAAAAUUAGACUCCUAAGGAGCUGAGACCCACUAAAAAUACUUAUCAUCAUGAAUCUCACUAACCUAAAUCAACUGAAUGACUUAUUUCACUUUUUCUCCAGAUGCUUCAGCUACAUGCCUAGUUUCCUCAGGUUUGCCUAGGUUGAAAUCCUAUAGGAUAAAUUUGGCCAAGAUCUUUGGCUAAAUACCAGGCCCUAACUUUUGCGGCUAAAUGCACAGCAAAUAUUUCUCCUUCACCUUAUUUUCUGCUUUAAAAAUACUGAUCUGGAUGGUUGUCAAAUUACUGAGUAUCAAAUGGAGCUGUGCAACUUAUUUUAAAAGGAAAAUAAUUCCAUUAACUCUUUCAUAUGCAAAGAAUUGACGCUUCAAAUCAUAUAGGAACAUGGGAUAAGUGAUCCUUUAUAGGUAUCUAUUUUUCCUUUCUUCUCUCUGUUGUUUGCAAGUAAUACACUCCAUUUCUUGGAAGUGCUUGGCAGUUUAUAAACCUAAAUCAAUCAGGCAAUGCAUAACACUGAAACAGGGGGUCUGUGUUCAGCUAUAAGUGAAAAUAGUUAUUUGUCUAUCUUUAGAUAUAAUAGUUACUUUAGACAGUGCCAUUUUAAUUAACUGUUGUAAAUAUUUGCACUAGUUUUCAUCCUAUACUGUGGACAUUUUACUAGACUCUAUUAAAACUCCCUUUGAGACACAGAGCUAGAAAAGACAAAUAAGAACAAAAUAAAUAUAGAGGACAUAUUUUAAUACAGCUUCUUGAACAGAGGAAAGCAAUUCCUUGUAAGUUUAAAACACUGGACUUUCAAAUAGAGAUGUUGAUUCUGGGAGAAGGGAGCAGCACAGCUUACCAUCAAAGGUAACAGAAAAUUUGCUAUUUAAAUAUGACUAGGCAUUUGUUUUCAUUCAAGAAUUACUAAAGAUUUUAGCUCCAGAAAGUUGACAAAAUUUUUGUCAGUUACUGUCCAUGUAUCUUUAGGAGCAAAUCUAUUUCAGUUUUAGAGUUUUGCUGCCUCUCUGUGAGAAUUACAGAAGUCUUUCAAAUAUGGGAGAAACAAAUGGUCUGCAGUACCCCCAGAUGUUCUAAAACAGGCAUGCUUAAAUUCACACAGUUAUAAAAAAAAAAUCAAACCAUUCUCCUUUUGUUAUUCCAUUCAAAUGUCUACCAACUUUAAGUAGGAGAAGUGAAGUGAAAAUGAGGAAAGAAAAGAAAGAGGGGGAUGGACCUGGAUGGUAUGGCAGGGCUACUUCCUUGCAUGUCUAAAUCAGGCUUGAGUUUCGUUAUCAUUAAAACAUAAAAGACAUUUAUUGUUCUGGGCUAGUUUCACCCUCAGUGACUCCCUAAUAGUACCCAGUUUUCUACCAAGACAGUUCCAAGGAUUGUAAUCUUUUGUGGUCCCAUCAUACAAAAAGACUAGAAGUGUACUUUCUUUUAUUUUUUCCUUCAUUUUAGGGCCACAUCUGUGGCUAGGAGUUGAAUUGGAGCUGCAGCUGCCAGCCUACACCAUAGCCAAAGCAACACUGGAUCCAAGAGGCAUCUGCAACCUACACUGCAGCUUAUGGCAACACCAGGUCCUUAACACACCGAGCAAGGCCAGAGAUCAAACCCACAUCCUCGUGGAUGCUGGUCAGGUUCACAAUCCACUGAGCCACAAGAGGAACUCAUAGACGUGUCCUUUCUAUCACAGCUUACAGAUACAAAUGGGUGUUAAAUUGACCUAUUUUUUUUUUCCACCAACCUUAUAUUGUUGUGGAAGUGGGAGGUUUGUUUUCUUUGGCUUUGUUUAUAGUGCAAGUCUGUUUUCCCUCAGGUUGUUAUCCAGUUAUUUUAAAAAUCUACUUGAACUUGAGAAUGACAAUAUAUUUUAUGAUCAGUUUUACCCCUUCUUUUAGUCUCCAAUAGAAUCAAAAUGCAAGCGGGCUGAGAAAACCGUAUUGGAGUUGGCUAUCCACAUACUGGAGGGAAAAUAUGCCUGUCAUCCCACUGUUGUGACUCACCAAGACAGCCAAAUAGGAUCAUUCAAGUCCUAAAGGGAAUUUUAGGGGUCUGAAUUGCCUACUUUGGCUGUCUACAUCAAUCAAAUUUACUGCCCUCUUGACCAAUCCCCAUUCAUGUGGUAACAUACAGCCACAAUUAACGGGGAAAGAGAUGGAACAGCUUUCUGCUGGUGAGGCUUGCUCAGCAAUAGCGCAUACGAACUACUGAGGAAUUUCCAUUUCUGAUGAUUGGAAACACCACUGAGCCAUGGUUAGAUUAGCCGCAUCCUUGACAAUAGAAAGGAAAGAAAGAAAAAUGCCCUCUUGAAAAAUCCUUUAGUGCUUCUUUUCAUUUAAGUAUAUUCUUUCCUAAAUAGUGUUCCGUGUAUAUAUACCCCCCCCAAAAAAAAGUUUCUUUUUCAUAUCUUCCAAACAAAUGACCCCAACUGUAGGCCUAUCACUUUGUCAUAUUCCCGAACAUAUCUAACCUAGUGGCAAUAAAACUUGGAAAUUCAAGGCUAACAUGACUGAGCCAGGAGUGAAAGAAUUCAGAGUAAUACUACUACUCACCAGUCUUAUCUAGACUCAAGUGUUAUAUCAAUGGAUAUAUUAGAAUCAAGAGGGAGAGAUUUUUAUAACAUUGGGAUUAUUAAUAGAGUAGUACAUGGAAUAGAACAGGAGGGGGGGAUAAAGGAACCUGUGAAUUAUUUUAUUUGCCAUUUAUGCACCUGCACUUGUCACAGGUAUGCUUGUCCUUCAGUGCCAGCAAAGUGCUCUGCGAUGGCUGAGGACAGCUGGGUGAAUAGAGAGAUGUUGUAGCUUAUCUAAAUGAAGCAGAGGGUCUUGCUGGUAGACUUAAGAUGCCUGGGCCUGUUCAGUUGUCUGGGCUGCUAUUCCUGCCGCCACUUCCAUGGCUCCCUCCUUCCCUCCCCAUCCAGGGCUGUGCUAUAGAGAUAGGCUGAAAAUAAACCUGGAAAGGAGUCGGUCUGGGUUAAGUCAACUCACACUUGUCAAAAAUGCCUCAGAGAUCAAUAUGCAGAUAUAAACAAAGAGGUGAUAGCCCAGGUUCCCAGUGGGGGUUAAUGACCCUGCCCAAGCUGUGUCACUUCCUAGGCUCUUCUCUUCCAACCAGAUAUGGUCCCGCCAGGUAUGUUGUCUGAGCACCAGAUGGAAUUCACUGCUUAUUGUCCUCCUUAUGUUUUAUCUGUGGCCAGAAGGUGAACAUUAUAGAUCCAUAGGCAUUUCAGAGUUUGUGAGGAUGCGUAUGUCAUUUUUUUUUAAUGCUUGGCCUUUGCAGAAAGACUCCUGGAAAUCACUGCUGGCUGCAACAUGUGCUGUUUAUAGCCCAGAGAGAAGAAGAAGCUUAUGAAAGCAUCAUAUGAGACUUAUUUUUGCGGGGGGGGGGUAUGAUUCACUUAUUGCAGACUCUCUUUGCCAGAUAUCACUGUGCUAAUAGGUAGCUGAUUUAUCAAGCAGCCGUGCUUUGACUUCUGUAUGACAAUACUGGUUUGCUUGUAUAAAUAGUUUAGUAAAAUUACAAUGUGAAAGGAGACUUUUCCUUUGAAUAUCCUGAUGUAGUAAAACAAAACAAAACAAAACAAACAAGCAAAAACACUGGAAGACAUUAGUUCUAGCUCGACAAGACUCAGGUUACUGAACUAUUGUGAACAGCCAACAAUCAAGUGACUUAUCACAUCAGAUAUGAUGGAUGCUUAGCAAUUACUGAUCUUAUACUACAGUGACAGAGUUGGUGUUGAAAGUGGAAGCCAUUCAGAAUGAUAAAUGGUUAUGACAAUUUACUAAAGAUACAAGGCAUGAUAAGUGUUGGAUAUAGAUGCACCUAUUUAAGAAGGAAGUGGAAGAUGAAAGAAAGAAAGAAAAAAAAAACAAGGAAAAGGGAAUUUAUAAUGUGAAAAUUAAGUUUGGGAGGAAAAAGAUAUGUAGCACACACUGAAUUUAUAAACAAAUGCAGAAAUUCUAGAAAUGCAGCAGCAAUAUAGUUUGGAGAUAAUGAAGACAUGCAGGCAACAGAUGUGUCACACAAUUUUCAUACAAUUCAUGGCACCAUCGUUCAUCCUCCUUAUUGGUACCUUCCAUCAAUCCCUCCCAGUCAUUGCAAUCCUCCACUGGGUUCCAUACUGCAGAAAUCUGGGGCCUGUUUGGAGAGCAUUUGGAACCUGAUUUGAGGCUUCUGAUUUCACUGCAGUCCUAGGCAAGAACAUUUUGGUGUAGUCUGGUUGACUUGUUUGGGCUGUGUUCUAGUUUCUCAUGGACGAUGUGAAGUAUUAGACCUUAAGAUGCUAAGGGGAGAAAGUUAAUCUCUUAAAUGUAUAUUUUUGCACCUUGUCUGAUGAAUAAACUGAUAGACAUAGUGUGCCACUAUUAAUGAUAUAAAUACAGCAUUAACAAAUCUUAAACAAAAUUGGAAAGAUUGGUAAAAAUUUUAAAAGACAGGAGUUCCUGUGGUGGCUCAAUGGUAAUGAACCUGACUAGUAUCCAUGAAGAUGCGGGUUUAAUCCCUGGCCUCACUCAGUGGGUUAAGGACCUGGUGUUGCCACAAGCUGCAGCAUAGGUUGUAGAGGUGGCUCAGAUCUGGCAUUGCUGCGGCUGUGGCAUAGGCUGACAGGUGUAGCUCUGAUUUGACCUCUAGCCUGGGAAUUUCCAU